rnacentral:rRNA from 1 species
GACGAACGCUGGCGGCGUGCUUAGCACAUGCAAGUCGAACGGUGAACCUCUUCGGAGGGGAUCAGUGGCGAACGGGUGAGUAACACGUGGGCAACCUGCCCCCGGCUCUGGGAUAACUCCAAGAAAUUGGGGCUAAUACCGGAUGUUCACCGCUUCCCGCAUGGGUGGUGGUGGAAAGGGUUUCCGGCUGGGGAUGGGCCCGCGGCCUAUCAGCUUGUUGGUGGGGUAGUGGCCUACCAAGGCGACGACGGGUAGCCGGCCUGAGAGGGUGACCGGCCACACUGGGACUGAGACACGGCCCAGACUCCUACGGGAGGCAGCAGUGGGGAAUAUUGCGCAAUGGGCGGAAGCCUGACGCAGCGACGCCGCGUGGGGGAUGACGGCCUUCGGGUUGUAAACCUCUUUCAGCAGGGACGAAGCGCAAGUGACGGUACCUGCAGAAGAAGCACCGGCCAACUAGGUG